AUAUCUCUCCGUACGGGAAGGAUGAGAAGCUUCGACUAAGGUUCGAUUCGAGCGCAGCGAGAAAGCGUUGUCGC
rnacentral:sRNA from 1 species